GUCAGUUGAAGGUUUCUGAGUAAAUUGACAGGUACACGCAGGUGCCAAACAGACUCUGCCACUGUCCUGGCUCCCAGUCUGUUCCUUUGUAAAGAACAAGCUUGUCUAGAGGGUCGGCUGCCACCCCUGUGUCUGUAGCCAGACUAAAGUGAGAUUGGCAAAUGGACUUGGGAUGAAGAAGAAGAGCAGCAGCAGCAGCAGCAGCAGCAGCAGCAGCAGCAGCAGCAGCAGCAGCAGCAGCAGAUGUUAUCCUAAUGGAAAACUGGAGGCUCCUCAGCCCUGGGCCGUCCCUCCUGUGCUGGCGUGUGUGCCUCUCCGCUCAUGGUCUGCCUUGCUGACACCGCUUUGGCACCUGGAGUCAUCUAGCUCUGCCAAUCAGACUCAGCCCUAAGGAAACUGAUUUGGAACAUUAAUUCUGUGAGGAAAGAGCCAGGACACUCAACUGUCCCCUUGGCAUCCCUGCAGGACUGUGGAGCCAAUCCCUGAAACUGGUCUCUUUCUCAGUCUGCUUCUUCUUCACCCAGCACGGUGUGAACGAGCCAUGCUGCAAGCUCCCUUAGCUAUGGAUCGAGCCACUCCAACUGCCAUGACCUCACCAUACAAUUGUGUCCCCGGCACUUCGGUAAUGUACGUGGUUAUCACUUGGUUAUACUGCCUUGUGACAGAGGCAUCGUUCAUCAUUUAAAAGCCCACAUCAGAAGAAGGUACUAAGAAAACGAGAAGUUCUUUCUGCAGUUACCUGCAGCUGAAACGUGGAGAGUGAACUAAGGAAGUAUGGCAGUGUGCUAAAAAAUAUCCAUAAAAAUCACAUAUAGGUAGUGGUUACCAGUGGCUGAAAUUGCAGGAGAGAAAGAUCUCACUUUUAAGUGACUCCUGAUGGAGCUACACGAUAUCAUGCGUAAAAAUGUAAAUUUCUUCUGCUGAAGAUAUUGCUAAGCAGAGAGAGAUACUCCAUGACAUCAUCAAAAAGCAAAAAUCGAAACCCCAAACGAGAGAAAUUCACGAGAUGAACGCUGAUGUUCCAAUUGACAGCAAGUACUAACUGGGCAUUUAAUAAGAUAAAUUGAUUAUUA
rnacentral:lncRNA from 1 species